rnacentral:tRNA from 1 species
ACUUUUAAAGGAUAGUAGUCAUCCAUUGGUCUUAGGAACCAAAAAAU